AAAUUGAAGAGUUUGAUCAUGGCUCAGAUUGAACGCUGGCGGCAGGCCUAACACAUGCAAGUCGAGCGGCAGCGGGAAAGUAGCUUGCUACUUUUGCCGGCGAGCGGCGGACGGGUGAGUAAUGCCUGGGGAUCUGCCCAGUCGAGGGGGAUAACUACUGGAAACGGUAGCUAAUACCGCAUACGCCCUACGGGGGAAAGCAGGGGACCUUCGGGCCUUGCGCGAUUGGAUGAACCCAGGUGGGAUUAGCUAGUUGGUGAGGUAAUGGCUCACCAAGGCGACGAUCCCUAGCUGGUCUGAGAGGAUGAUCAGCCACACUGGAACUGAGACACGGUCCAGACUCCUACGGGAGGCAGCAGUGGGGAAUAUUGCACAAUGGGGGAAACCCUGAUGCAGCCAUGCCGCGUGUGUGAAGAAGGCCUUCGGGUUGUAAAGCACUUUCAG
rnacentral:rRNA from 1 species